UAAGAACAGUCAGUGCUUGGAGGAGCUGCCUGUGAGAAACAUCGAGCAGAGUUGUUCUGGAGGAAAAACCCUGCAGCACUGGAGCACAUUCAAUUACAGGUGGACUAAUCCUGAAUAAACUUGUGCUAAAACCUCAUUCCUGGGAAUCUCCUCCACAAGCUCAUCCAGCCCUGGUUGUCUCCUCCAGCCUGCACAGGGAGAACAAGGGACAGCAGGAGCUCCUUGGGAGGCGAUGGUGGCACAAGGGGAAAAUCCACAGAAUAAGCCUGUUUCUGUGAAUCUCAUACCACACCUGUGUUCCCACAUUUGCCACAGACCUGAGGAAUCGGCAACCUGCAAAAGGGCUGCUCUGAAAGACCAGCUGAUGUUCCUGUGGAGCAAACAUUCUGUGUUUUGAGAAGAGCCACAUCCACACCUCUCGCUGGGAAGCUGCUGGGUUGAUGCAGAAACUUCACCAGUGGCUCACCAGCAACCACAGACUGCUGCUGGGUUUGAACUACCAUCACAGUCACCUCACAGAACAUUCUGUGUACCUGUAUUCACAAAUAUUCCAUGUAACAGAGAAUUUAAUUAGAUUUAUUUCUUCACAUGUCAGCUACCUCCCACAUCAAAGGCAUUUAAGUCUUUGCAAUAUCUCCAAUUCUGUUUGGAUCUGCCCUGUGAUGGGCACAGCCCUGAAAACAGGCAGCCCCUGAACAGUAGCUGGUAAUAGUGUUUGAAAAGAUGAUUGCAUCUCAGAAUGAAUCAUUAGAUCCUGUAAAAUGCAUCUGUCACUGUAGUGUUUAAACUCUGCUUUCCCCACCCCCCCAAUUUGCACUAAUUAGUGUAGGAUGAGCUGCUGCCUAAAAAUUAAGAAUUCUGGAAUAUUUAAUUGAUCCUGGUCCCUGUGAAUGCCAUGCCUGAGGAAUCAGGAGCAGAGAGCCACGUGAGCAUGGCUCAUACAGGGGCUGCAUUUCUGGUGCCCCCCAAGCCAGGGAGCCCAGAGUGGGGCUGGUAGCCCUGCCAGGCACCUGCUGGUCCCUGAUCCAGCCCCCCAGCCCCAGCUCUCCCUGUCCUCACACAGCAGGUGAGUGUGUCUCACCCAAAGCCCCCAAGGGAGGAGUUACCUGAGCAGAAAUGGCCUCCUGCAGGGAGGAAGUGUUUCAGUGUCUGCUAACUUUUCAAACCCUGCUCUUUAGGAUGCAGAAGUUGCCAAGGAUUAUGAAGUUUUACUCCUAAAAGUGACACAGUGUGGAAUCAUGCUUAUGGCACCCCAGUGGCUCUCCCCUAAAUGUGCUCAGCCGGCACAUAAAGAUGUGAGCUGUUUUUCACUCAUCAGCUCUGAAAAUUUACCUUGGAUUCUUGCUUUAUCAUCCAUAAUUUGUUUUAAAGGCUCUGCUGGGCAGGUCAUUACCAGGAGCCUCAUCCAGGAGUGCAGUGCACAUAAAGCACCACGGCCCCUGGGGCUGCCAGAGCUCCCCUCCCCAGCACUUCCCUCUGACAGCCAGCAUUCCCAAAUGCCUGAUGCCUUCCUGCUGUGCACACCUCAGUGCUGCUCCUCUGUCACACCCCAGCACUUCUGGGGGAUUUGCAGGAGUUAUUUGUGCUUAGGGAUCUCUUUCCCAGCACCUGGCAGCCCCCAGCCUGCAGAAUGAGCAACCAGGAGGCACUGAGCGCAGGAGAGGGGGAUGCUGAAGGUGUUUGCUCUGCUCAGUCCCCAUUCCAGCAGGGCAAAGAGAGGGGGAUGCUGAGGGUGUUUUCUCUGCUCAGUCCCCAUUCCAGCAGGGCAAAGAGAGGGGGAUGCUGAGGAUGGUUUGCUAUUUUCUGUCCCCAUUCCAGCAGGGCAAAGAGAGGGGGAUGCUGAGGGUGUUUGCUCUGUUCAAUCCCCAUGCCUAGCAGGGCAAGUGGGCCCCAAAGCCCUGUGGUUGUGAGAAGCACAGCGGAGGUCAGAGCAGGCACAUUUUCUCUCCCCAGAGAGCCCAGAGCAGGAGCAUCCCAAGAUAGCAAAGUGGAAAUGCCACACAAACUGGGCUUGGUCUUCUGUUUGUGUUUGGCAUUUGGUUCAAGGUCUCUGCAGACCUAACCCCAACAAAGGCAACAGAGCAAAGAGUUUGGCAAUUUUAUUUCAUUUAAAUUCUUGUCAGGGCUUUUUCCUGGCCUUCUUGGCAUCCCUGCUCCCUUUGCUGGGACAGCUGCUUGGCUGGCCUGACAGGGCAUGGGGCUGAGAGGGCAGGCCCAAUUAACUGCAUGGUGAUCACUUCUUCAGUCUUAAAAUCCCACAUGCUUCUGAAUUAAUUUAGAAUAAAUUCAAUCACAGUCAUUUGCAAGGUCUGCUGCUGGGCAGUGCAAGGAGCAAUUUGCUGGUGGGAUUCUCAUUCCUUGCAGUGGCAAAUAACCUAAGUCCACUAUACCACAGGGAUGAAAAGCUGGAAUUUAGACCUGAUGUGGCUAAAUGCUAAAUAUGUGUGUCUGUUUACAUUGAAGCAUACUUCUGGUACCCAGGUGAGGUCAGGGGCUAAUGUCAGACAAGGUGAUAGAAGAACAGAUAAAUUGUCCUUUUUCUGCAGCUAGGAAGGGACAGAUAUAAACACUCGCAGGAAUAUGUCUUGUAGCACAGCAACCUUCCCAAAAGUCCUCACUCACACCUUCAUUUCCUUCAGCUGUGACUGUCCACAAAACAAAGCCACACACAGCUCAGUGUGUGCCCUCUCUUUUCAUUACACCACUGUCUUCAGUAAAUCUCAGGCUGAAUGCCCAUGUGUGUGCUUUGAUUGCAAAUGCCCGUGCUUUGCCCUAUAAAAGAGAAGUGCCCUAUCCAGCCAAGCUUUCUUCUUUAUGGGCUGCUCAAGUAUCACUUCUGCUCUGCUGUGUCCAGGCAGUUUGACCAGCUUGGGCCUCUCCUGUGAUAUGAAACAAUUCCAAAAUAGAAACAUCUUCCUUGUGAA